AAAAAAGCCCAACUGGAAGUUACGGUGGCCUCAAUCGACCUUCUCCAAGACUCCAACCUCGCCGAUCAUCAAUCGAUCCCACUCCAAUGGCUGCAGAUCAACGCCGCUCCCGCCGCUCCGGCGGCGAGGACCGCAUCAGCGGCCUCCCCGACGAGCUGCUGCACGACAUCCUGGUCCGCCUCCGCUGCGCCCGCGCCGCGGCGCGCACCAGCGUGCUCUCCCGCCGCUGGCGCCACGUCUGGGCGCACCUGCCCGAGCUUCGCCUCGACCAGCGGCGGCGACCGACGGCAUCGGGCUUGUUAUUCCUGGACACCAUCGACGCUGCCCUCGCCGGCUACUCAGCCCCAACCCUCGAGCGCCUCAGCAUCUCCAUCCCCUCCAACAGUAACGCGCCCUCAUCAGUAGUUGGGCCGGGGGCGCGCAUUGCGCCGUGGCUCCACUUCGCAGCGGCGCGCGUGGUGGGCGAGCUCAAUCUCUUCCUCCGCGCGCCUCAGACCUUCGUCGUCGCGACACCGGAGGUCGUCGGGGAGGAGGCCGUGCUCGAGCUUCCGGUAUGUGAACAAACGAAACGAAUCGAGCUCUUUCUACAAUAUGCAGACACACACUGGCUCCGGCCGCAGGCAUCCGGCUCCGGCCUGUUCACGGCGCUGACGUUCCUGAAGGUAGAUGGCCAUGUCCGCAUGACAGGAAGCGAUCUCACAGCCCUUGUGAGCACGCAGUGCCCGUGCUUGAGGGAGCUCGAUCUUUUCAUUACGCUGAUUGUCAACUUCCAUGUCUUGAUUCACUCCAACUCGUUGCACACGCUGGUGCUCCGCGUCUUGGAGACACGGCGUCUAGAGGUUGUGGCCCCAAGGCUUGAAGAGCUCACUGUAUUUGCUCGGCCAUUGGAGGCUCACAUCUCUGCUACCAAGCUUGUCAAGGUAGCUUGGCAUGGUGUCUAUGACCCUCAUCUGCAUAGGUUUGUUGAUGUUGGCUCUACCCUCCGGCUACUGAAAACUUCCUCUCAGGCAUUGUCGCUGACUAAGCGGUUCGAUGAAGUUGAUGAGUUGGAUCAUCUGAGCAUCGAUCUAAAAUGGCAAGAUGUAGCAAGAUAUGAAAGCUUCUUGAAUGAAACAAAUAAGCUGCUCAAGUGUAAGAGCCUUUGCAUAUCCUUGUUGUGGGAACAUGCCUUGGUGCCUGUCAUGUGGCAUCUCUUGAGGAGUUGCAAUGGUACAAAGAGGCUUCGAGUACAUUUGUGGGGUCCUUGGUCCCAACGAGUGAUGCAUUCUUGCCUGCCGGCUUGCCCUUAUCGUUUGGAAGAGAGUCUCAAGAUUGAUGUCAUUGAUCUCAGUUCACUUGAAGAGGUAGAAAUCUCAGGUUUUUCAGGUUCUCAUGAACAAAUGGAACUUGUGGAGUUCCUAUCCAGCAAUGCCAGAAUCCUGAAAAGGUUGCGCAUCAAUUAUCACAAUUGCCGUAGGCCCAAGGAAGCACGUGAGAAGAGACUUCUCCAAGAUCCCUAAAACUGCUGAAGGAGUUCUAGGCCUGUCAAUCUAUGAUUUUGGCUUUGAGAGGGAGGUUCUUGAUGAUGGGAAAGGAAAGGUUUUGAAAAGUGGUAUUAGGAUUGGUGAAGAUCAGCCACCUAACAAGAAAUUCAGAAAUGAGAGUGGUCAAGAUUGUUCACUCAUGAACAGGAAAGUUGGGGACAAUGAUGGUCCUGAUUCCAGACAAAUGCAGAAUUUUGGAAAGCAAGUGAUGGCCUCGGCCCCAUCCAAGCUGCAGUCUACAUCAGUAAUUGACAGUGGUGCCAAGGUGAUGAAAGAUGCUCAAAAAGGUUUGUCAGGUCAGAAUAUAUUGGGGGGGAAUGACAAAGUUUAUAUACCUGAAGGCAUAGAGGAUUCUGAUUCUGAGAGUGACUCUUUUGGGGAAAGACUUAGGAAACUAAAUGAGGAGGGACAAUCUUCUAAACAAUCAAAGAAUCAAGAACAUCUUUGGUUCAUGGAAGUGAAUGAGAACAAGGCUGCCUUAUGUGAGGAAUCAGUAGCUGAUCCAGUGGAAUGCAUGACUGUGACAACUCCUAAAAGUGUUGAAGCUCUAAAGAAUAUCAAUGUUGACAAAGUCUCAGUUUCACCUGAGAUUUUUAUCACUGAUGAUAAUAUUGUCAACACACAAGAGAGUUUGGCUUUACUUGAAGAAAAUCCUAUGGAGAUGGAGAUGCUUCCAGAUGAUCAAAAGUCCUUGGAGGGGGACAAGAAGGUGGUGGAAAAAACACAAGCUGUCCAUCCCAUUGCCAGGAGGAGGAGUGAGAGUCUGGCUAAAGAAAUUACUAUCUUCACCAAGGAGAAGACUGAGAUGAUGGCCAAGAAGAGAAAUCUGGAAGGUUUACAGAGUGAUGUGGACAAGGAAGCAUUGAUCGGUGGAGUGGAGACUAUGUUCAAGAUUGCUGUGCAGAUUCUAGCCAAGAAACGCCGCUGAGACAAUCAGACAGGCGCAGUGAAGGACGCGAUCAACGAAGAUGAAGCUAGCCAGGAGUUAGAUAGCUGAAGGCGAUCUGAAGAACAUCCAUGUGUGUCUGGAUUCUUUUGUUUUGGCUGCUGCUAUGUCCUUGGCGUCCGAUAUGAUGGCAUACGUUCUUAGGCUGGUUUCGCUCUUUUAUUUCUCUUUUCUGUACUGAACUGUGUGGCUUGGCUGUCUGUUCAAACUCUGGAAACAAUUGUAUUUCCGUUAUCAAGUAAUGGAAAUGGGUUAACCCCUAGUUCGAAAAAAAUAACAAUAAAAAAAUUUAUAUAGACAAAUAAAAGACAAG